AUGCAUCCAUUUGACAGACCUGGAGCAGUUCCUGUCUGCUGCUAAGGUUUCCACUAGAGAUGCAAGAAAAAAAGUGUCCUCACACUUUCUGUCUGUCUCAUUGUGGCAGUCAAGAUUGAAUGGGGGAGUACAGGG